CGGGGAGGGGGAAGGGUUGCGUGCGCCCAGGUGGCCUGACCUUAAUUGCUUGUUAACUCGCCAACGUUUCUUGCUUCUCCAGCAGAUACUCAGGGCUGGGUUUGUUAAGAGUUCCGGACGAAGCUUGGAACCCAGGAGCUCUGGGCUACCCGGGCCCUCCCCGCCGCGCAUCCCAGCCUGCCCGUCCCGUGCGCGGCGUCCUGCCGGGGGCCUCGGGAUGCAGGAGGAAAAGGAAGGUCCUUUGCAGUCUGUUCAGGAAAAGGAUGGGAGUGGACUGGUCCAGGAUGCUUUCUAUCUUCAAUCCCUCAUCACUGAUGCGUUCCAUGACGAAGGAUUUCAGAAAAUAAAAGAAUAUUUUCAACAGCGAGAGAACCACGUUCCUCAAAAGUAUGAUGAUCUUUUAUUACACCAUCUUAACAGAUCGAUAAGUAAGGAACUGGAUAAAAAUGAAUUUCAGUAUGUUUCCCUGUUGCUGAAAUGUAUUCAGCAGUUCUUCAUGGACGGCCUCAAAGAAGAUGAGCCUUUGCUAAUUCAGCAGGGACUGAUCCCCAAGUUGGUUUCCUGGUUCGAAAGAACAGCAGACUUUCUGACCACGACAGAGUUAGCCUCGGACGCAUCUCUGAUGAGUGUGACAGAAGACUUUUAUGACACAGCCUUGGUUAUUUCCAGAAGUAGUAGCAAAGGGAAAAGUGAGAUGCUGGGUUCCUUCAUGUUUACCUUAGGAUUUCUGGUGACAGAAGGGAAUGUAAAUCAUGGCAUCCAGCAGGAGGCGCUGAGGGCCUUGAAUUGCAUUCUUCAAACAGUGCCUCGGGAGGAGAGAAAACAGCUUCUCUUGUCAGACGUGCCAUGUCAACUCAUGAAAGACUUUGCAAGGACAAUCUUGACUGUGGGUGAUUAUGACCAGCAGGUGGCUCUUUGUGAAGCAUUGUGUAGACUGACGACAAAAAAAUCAAGGGAGGACAUUGUCCAUCAGUGGUUUGAAGAUGAUGUCAUUGCUGAGGCUUUCAAAGAAAUUAAGCAUCAAGAAUUUGAGACGGAUUGUAGACGGUUUCUCAAUCACCUAAAUGACAGACUUGGUGACCAAAGAAGAGUUGAAUCAUUUCCGUGCAUUGCUGCUUUUGCUGAUGAGCUUGAGAUGAAGAAACCUGCGGAUGAAAAAUUAGAGAAAUUUUGGAUUGAUUUCAACCUAGGCAGUCAGAGCAUAACUUUUUAUGUAAACAACACUGAGAGCGCCCUCUGGGACUCCGUAAGACUUUUGAAGGAUGCGGUGAUUACUUUCAGCGUAAUAGAAACUGAAAUGAAGGUGCUCAGAAUUUUCCUGAAGAAGCCUGUUAAUAUCGGAAACAAAGAAGUGAUGAAAAUAGAAAUCCAUUUUGAAUUGCAGUUUGACAUAGCACAAGCCUCCAUCAAGGCCUUAGGAGAAGACAAGCAGGUAAUGCUUGACCAGACAAAAACCUUCUCAGACCUCUUUGAGUUUGAAGAAGAAGGGACUGAGAUUCCUAGCAGCCAUGAAAGAGAGACAGACCAAGCAAAGGAAUCCACUGAGCUGGCAGAGUUAUCCAGUCCUGAAGAUGACCAUGGCUUAGCCACUGUCCCUUUAAAUAACCAGUCUGAUCCUGCUCAGACAAAUACAGCUGAUGGCUCACUUGAAGAGUCGAGACUGGAUGACUCACAAAAAGUUACUUCAGAACUUGAGUACUCUUUAGAUUUACAAGAACCCUCAGCCAAAAUUCAGGUUCCUGCACUAAAUGACCCAUCUCGGGACGAGUCUGCUCUUGAGGGUGACAGAAAGCGAGAAACAAGGAUGUCGUUUAAGUAUAGGAAACACCUCUUCUCCGAGAGUAAUCAAGACUCGAGUACCAGCAGCAGUGAACUCUCUUGGACCAGUAACCAAAAAAGGAAAGCCCUGAAGUCGUAUCCUAGCAGAAAAAAGACAAGAACAAGAAGUAGCGUCCGAUUCGUGUCACUUCUCCCUCCCAGUAGUGGCAGCGACCUUGAAAAAGACCAAAAAGAUACCUCCAGGCAAAAUAGUACCACACCUCCAAAAAUUUCUGGAACAAAAUUUCAGAAUAGUUCUGCCUUUUUAACUCCUGAAGAUUCUGCCCAGAAGACAGAACUUCAAAGUCCCCACCCACUGAGCAAUCUCUCUUCCUUGGAGCCCUCAGAUCUUGAAGAAAACGUCUCUAAGACGGUGGCCCAAGAGUCAUUGAUAAAAAGUACCAGCUUCAAACAUAAACUGCAAAACUUGGAAGACAGAGACAGAGCAGGUGGCCGUGCUGCUCAGUGGAAACAGUCAAGGCGGGAAGAAGGUGACAGUCCAGGAUCCCUUUCCUCAGUGUCAGAAGAAGCAGGCCUGGCAGUUAUGCCAGAGAACCCAGAAGGUUCUAUGAUGAUUGCAACUUUUGAAAACUUCACUCAAGAACUCAGAAGAAAAUUCGAGCUUAGGUACAGAAGGAGCCUACUUUAUUCCAAAAAUGCAAAGCAAGCACCCGAUUGCCUAAUGAAACUCUUAAACCAGAUACGUCAGCGCAGACUGAAGAAACUAGAACAGUUUCGCAGCUUCGUUCUUCAAGAGGCGAGCAAUCUUGAGAAGGAUAUUCAGGGUCUGUGGCGCCUGGAGGAGGAUGUUCUGGAAUUUUGGGGAAAACAGUCUGAUGAUCUGAAAUCAUUCUGUGAUCUGCAACUGCUGAGGCUCAAUCCAGUUCAGCCUUCGUGAAGAAAGCCGAAGCUGCCUCUGAUGUUGCAUCCUGGGGGAAACAGUUUUCAUGGAAGCCAAACCAAUAGACAUCUGUCUCCAUCUUAUUGGCCAGAACUGAGUCGAGCGAACCUCUCCAGUGACAAGGAAAUCUGGGGUGGCAAGAAUCUAACUGAGCUCUCCUGCAAAGUAGGCUUCUGUUAAUAAGGAAGAAGGGGAGGCGAGAUGUUGGCUAGCCUGAGCCACAGGAAGGAGAUAAAGCUGUCUCUGGCCAAGUGGUGACAGAUGCUCUGGGGUCGUUCACUCCAAAUGGAAUUCCUGAGAUCUGACAAGCUGAACUAGACUAUACUAUGUUGGUCAUUUGUCUAUUUUGUUUACAAAGGUUAACCUUUUGUAUUAAAAUUUGGUCAGAAAAUAGGAAGUUCAGGAUGUUUAGUGACUUGGAGUGAUGUUGCUUUUUGUUUGCUUAAAUGCUUUUCAAAAGUAAAAGUGACUUUUAUCUGA